CAGUCUCAGGGACCAUCAUGUCAGAAGAAGGGAUGGAAAAAUUAUGAAACCCAGAGGUACUGGACAUCUGCAGCAAAGCAGUAUUUACUGUGUAUCUAGAAAAUCUUCAAUAAAGAACAACCUGUUUGAUAAAUAAGAUGACUUGUCUGACAGCAACCACAAGUCCAAACAUUUCACCUGGAUAAAUUCAUUUCUAUGGAAGAACCUUUUUAAGUGUGAAAAUGGAAGCACUAAUUUACCAUGAAAAUAUUAGUUUAUUUGAAACCUCAGAAUACAUUGGUUUUUCCCUGCCAAAA